rnacentral:tRNA from 1 species
GGGCGAUUAGCUCAGUGGUAGAGCACUCGCUUCACACGCGAGGGGUCGCUGGUUCGAACCCAGUAUCGCCCA